ensembl:lncRNA
GACAGUCGAGCGCCCAACACCGCUAGAGGUGCGGCCGGGAUCUGCGGCUCCUCCGCCCCCGCCCCGCGACGUGGAGGCAGCAAUCCUGCAUCUUCCGUGAGAUUCCCAAAACUGCGUGUAACCUGCAAGCGAAAGAUUCUCCACCGAGUUAACGCGCAGGGAACCCUUGGAUCCACAUCUGCACAUUUAACAGAUACGAAUCUAUUAACGAAUCUCAUCCACGAGAAAAAGGUGCAGACGAGGCGACGCACGAGUGGAGGUGGCCCCCGAGGCGCUCCGGUUCCGCGCUCCCAGAGACGGGCAGCUGCGGUUCGCCUCCCGUCCCUCGUGCGCAUCGCCCCGCAGCCUGCAGCGCCGCGAGCAGCCCACCUGAUUCCAGAUCCGCGGGAGGCCGAGGGGCCCCUCCAUGCUAGCAGAAGCACGCCCGCGCUUGCUCUGAGCCCCCCACUCCCAAACAACGGCGGGAGAGGCCCCACACCGAAAACGCCCGGGUUCGUGCAUGCCAUCAGAAAUGCAAAACCCGCGCGGGUGACUGCUCCCGGAGAACCAAUUCCACCAAAGCAUCGUUUUACGCACACCACACACGCAAUUGCCGUGCGGAUCGCACCGGGCACCGCGAGCCUCUCGCCCUGCGCGCGCCCGCACCCGGGCCCCGCGCAGCCAGCAGUUCCUCCCGCCGCCCCGCGCUGCGCAUCCUUCCCGCCGGGACCCGCGGCGACCCCUCGCGCUCCGGGCCCGGCCGAACAAAGGCGACGCCAACAGCUCCGCCGGCUGCGGCGACUCGGAGGCCCGGCCCGCGCUCACCUGGGCUCCGUCCCCGGCGGCGGCGGCGGCUCCUCGGAGGGGAUCCGGCGGCGCGGCCCUGGCGGCGGCGGCAAAGAACACUCCGACGGCCGCCCCGGGGCCUGCGGGGCGCUCGGGCGGUGGGGGCCCGCUCAGCGCCGGCGCCGCGGGCUCAAGUCCCGGCGCGGGCGGCGGCGGCGGCGGCGGCGCGGGCGGGUGGGCGGCGGCGCGUCCCGGCGGGUCCAGGUCCGGCCCCGGCGACGCCGCGACGCGCCCUCCUCCUCGCGCCCGCAGGCGGGACGGCGGCUCCGGCGCGGCCCGCGAUCCGAGGUGGCGGCGGCUGAGCUCGGCGCUCUGCGCUCGGCCGGCUCCGCUCCCUCCGCCUCCGGCUCGGGCGGGCCCGCGGCGGCGGCGGCGGCGGCAGGAGCGCGGCGGGCGCGGGGACAGCCCUGUCAGCGGCGGUGGGGGCGGCCGGGGCGACGCUCAGGGCUGCGGGGCAGCGGGGCCGGCGGCGGCGGCUGCGGCUCCCGGGGCCGUCGCGCUGAGGUGCGGAGCUGCCACCGCGGCCAUCUUGUUGCUCUAACUGACAAGAACCCCCCCUCCCCCCGCUUCAGCCAGACGGGGCGCUCGCGCCCCCUUCCCCGCCCCGCCUUGGCCUCCAACAGGAAGUCGUCCCGGCCCCUGGCACGUGACUCCACCGUAUCUGCAUACCGGAGGGCCAACUGGCCAAUCGGCGCUCUGAACAUGAGCUCCGCCCCCGCGCGCCCCUCCCCGGCCCAUUGGCUAGUUCCAGCCAAACCACACCCCCUCCUCCCCCUCCCCUUAAUACCCGCCCGAGCUGUCUUUCCACAGACCGCGCGGGGAGCGCGCCAGGGUACGAGCGGGUACGCGCUCCGUGUCGUCGGGCGCGGGCGCGUGCGAGUCCCUGGGGCUCGCGGUCUUCUUGGGGUGCGUGGAAACUCACGCAGCUUCCUUCCUCGUCUGAGGGUGCUGCAACUUCGCAUUAGAACGCUCAGCCGUGAGCGUGGUGGAAGCAGGCCAGCUUUCCGCUUUGUGCAGUGGAGGCUCCGCGGUGCUACUUGA